rnacentral:rRNA from 1 species
UACGUAGGGGGCUAGCGUUGCUCGGAGUGACUGGGCGUAAAGGGCGCGUAGGCGGUUCGUUCAGUCAGACGUGAAAUUCCUGGGCUCAACCUGGGGGCUGCGUUUGAUACGUGCGGACUUGAGUGCGGAAGAGGGUCGUGGAAUUCCCAGUGUAGAGGUGAAAUUCGUAGAUAUUGGGAAGAACACCGGUGGCGAAGGCGGCGACCUGGUCCGAUACUGACGCUGAGGCGCGAAAGCGUGGGGAGCAAACAGG